GCAGUCGAGCGGAACGAUGAUAGCUUGCUAUCAGGCGUCGAGCGGCGGACGGGUGAGUAAUACUUAGGAAUCUACCUAGUAGUGGGGGAUAGCACGGGGAAACUCGUAUUAAUACCGCAUACGACCUACGGGAGAAAGGGGGCAGUUUACUGCUCUCGCUAUUAGAUGAGCCUAAGUCGGAUUAGCUAGAUGGUGGGGUAAAGGCCUACCAUGGCGACGAUCUGUAGCUGGUCUGAGAGGAUGAUCAGCCACACCGGGACUGAGACACGGCCCGGACUCCUACGGGAGGCAGCAGUGGGGAAUAUUGGACAAUGGGGGAAACCCUGAUCCAGCCAUGCCGCGUGUGUGAAGAAGGCCUUUUGGUUGUAAAGCACUUUAAGCAGUGAAGAAGACUCCGUGGUUAAUACCCACGGACGAUGACAUUAGCUGCAGAAUAAGCACCGGCUAACUCUGUGCCAGCAGCCGCGGUAAUACAGAGGGUGCAAGCGUUAAUCGGAAUUACUGGGCGUAAAGGGAGCGUAGGUGGCUCUAUAAGUCAGAUGUGAAAUCCCCGGGCUCAACCUGGGAACUGCAUCUGAAACUGUAGAGCUAGAGUAUGUGAGAGGAAGGUAGAAUUCCAGGUGUAGCGGUGAAAUGCGUAGAGAUCUGGAGGAAUACCGAUGGCGAAGGCAGCCUUCUGGCAUAAUACUGACACUGAGGCUCGAAAGCGUGGGUAGCAAACAGGAUUAGAUACCCUGGUAGUCCACGCCGUAAACGAUGUCUACUAGUCGUUGGGUCCCUUGAGGACUUAGUGACGCAGCUAACGCAAUAAGUAGACCGCCUGGGGAGUACGGCCGCAAGGUUAAAACUCAAAUGAAUUGACGGGGGCCCGCACAAGCGGUGGAGCAUGUGGUUUAAUUCGAUGCAACGCGAAGAACCUUACCUGGUCUUGACAUAUCUAGAAUCCUGCAGAGAUGCGGGAGUGCCUUCGGGAAUUAGAAUACAGGUGCUGCAUGGCUGUCGUCAGCUCGUGUCGUGAGAUGUUGGGUUAAGUCCCGCAACGAGCGCAACCCUUGUCCUUAGUUACCAGCGGGUUAAGCCGGGAACUCUAAGGAUACUGCCAGUGACAAACUGGAGGAAGGCGGGGACGACGUCAAGUCAUCAUGGCCCUUACGACCAGGGCUACACACGUGCUACAAUGGUAGGUACAGAGGGCAGCUACACAGCGAUGUGAUGCGAAUCUCAAAAAGCCUAUCGUAGUCCAGAUUGGAGUCUGCAACUCGACUCCAUGAAGUAGGAAUCGCUAGUAAUC
rnacentral:rRNA from 1 species